rnacentral:rRNA from 1 species
CCCCUUGGUAUUCCAUGGGGCAUGCCUGUUCGAGCGUCAUUUGUACCUUCAAGCUCUGCUUGGUGUUGGGUGUUUGUCCUUGCUCCUAGGGAGUAGGACUCGCCUUGAAGUAAUUGGCAGCCAGUGUUUUGGUUUGAAGCGCAGCACAAGUCGCGAUUUAAGCUGAAUCAAUAGCUCUCCAUUAAGACAUCUAUCACUUUUGACCUCGGAUCAGGUAGGGAUACCCGCUGAACUUAAGCAUAUCAAUAAGCGGAGGAAAAGAAACCAACAGGGAUUGCCCCAGUAACGGCGAGUGAAGCGGCAACAGCUCAAAUUUGAAAUCUGGCUCUUUCAGGGUCCGAGUUGUAAUUUGCAGAGGGCGCUUUGGUGUUGGCAGCGGUCCAAGUUCCUUGGAACAGGACGUCACAGAGGGUGAGAAUCCCGUACGUGGUCGCU